rnacentral:rRNA from 1 species
GUAUGGUGCAAGCGUUAUCCGGAUUUACUGGGUGUAAAGGGUGAGUAGGCGGUCAUGCAAGUCAUAUGUGAAAUGUCAGGGCUUAACCUUGGCGCUGCAUAAGAAACUGUAUGACUAGAGUGCAGGAGAGGUAAGCGGAAUUCCUAGUGUAGCGGUGAAAUGCGUAGAUAUUAGGAAGAACACCGGUGGCGAAGGCGGCUUACUGGACUGUUACUGACGCUGAGUCACGAAAGCGUGGGGAGCAAACAGGAUUAGAUACCCUGGUAGUCCACGCCGUAAACGAUGAGUGCUAGGUGUUGGCCAGAGAUGGUCGGUGCCGCAGCAAACGCAAUAAGCACUCCACCUGGGGAGU